rnacentral:rRNA from 1 species
UACGGAGGGUGCGAGCGUUGUCCGGAAUCAUUGGGCGUAAAGGGCGCGUAGGUGGCCCGGUCAGUUCGUGGUGAAAGCGCGGGGCUCAACCCUGCGUCGGCCAUGAAUACUGCCGCGGCUGGAGCACUGUAGAGGCAGGCGGAAUUCCGGGUGUAGCGGUGGAAUGCGUAGAGAUCCGGAAGAACACCGGUGGCGAAGGCGGCCUGCUGGGCAGUUAGCUGACACUGAGGCGCGACAGCGUGGGAAGCAAACAGG